UACGUAGGGGGCAAGCGUUGUCCGGAUUUAUUGGGCGUAAAGAGCGUGUAGGCGGCCAUUCAGGUCAGCUGUGAAAACUCGAGGCUCAACCUCGAGACGUCGGUUGAAACCGUUUGGCUAGAGUCCGGAAGAGGAGAGUGGAAUUCCCGGUGUAGCGGUGAAAUGCGCAGAUAUCGGGAAGAACACCCGUGGCGAAGGCGGCUCUCUGGGACGGUACUGACGCUGAGGAGCGAAAGCGUGGGGAGCAAACGGGG
rnacentral:rRNA from 1 species